UUCAAUGAUGAUAACGCUACAUAGGAAGUGCCGUCUGAUGCGAUAACUGACGAUGGAUUAGCGUUGUCCUGAGA